ensembl:snRNA U2 U2 spliceosomal RNA
AUCGCUUCUCUGCCUUUUGGCUAAAAUCAAGUGUAGUAUCUGUUCUUAUCAGUGGGUGGGAUAUCUCCUAGUUAAGGAAGAUAUUGAAGUUCCCAUCCACU